rnacentral:rRNA from 1 species
CAGAAGGGGAUAACACUUGGAAACAGGUGCUAAUACCGUAUAACACUAUUUUCCGCAUGGAAGAAAGUUGAAAGGCGCUUUUGCGCCACUGAUGGAUGGACCCGCGGUGCAUUAGCUAGUUGGUGAGGUAACGGCUCACCAAGGCCACGAUGCAUAGCCGACCUGAGAGGGUGAUCGGCCACACUGGGACUGAGACACGGCCCAGACUCCUACGGGAGGCAGCAGUAGGGAAUCUUCGGCAAUGGACGAAAGUCUGACCGAGCAACGCCGCGUGAGUGAAGAAGGUUUUCGGAUCGUAAAACUCUGUUGUUAGAGAAGAACAAGGAUGAGAGUAAAACGUUCAUCCCUUGACGGUAUCUAACCAGAAAGCCACGGCUAACUACGUGCCAGCAGCCGCGGUAAUACGUAGGUGGCAAGCGUUGUCCGGAUUUAUUGGGCGUAAAGCGAGCGCAGGCGGUUUCUUAAGUCUGAUGUGAAAGCCCCCGGCUCAACCGGGGAGGGUCAUUGGAAACUGGGAGACUUGAGUGCAGAAGAGGAGAGUGGAAUUCCAUGUGUAGCGGUGAAAUGCGUAGAUAUAUGGAGGAACACCAGUGGCGAAGGCGGCUCUCUGGUCUGUAACUGACGCUGAGGCUCGAAAGCGUGGGGAGCGAACAGGAUUAGAUACCCUGGUAGUCCACGCCGUAAACGAUGAGUGCUAAGUGUUGGAGGGUUUCCGCCCUUCAGUGCUGCAG